GACGGAGGGUGCAAGCGUUAUUCGGAAUUACUGGGCGUAAAGGGCGCGCAGGCGGCUUUUUAAGUCAGGCGUGAAAGCCCGGGGCUAAACCCCGGAAGUGCGUCUGAAACUAAGGAGCUUGAGUACGGGAGAGGGAAGUGGAAUUCCUGGUGUAGAGGUGAAAUUCGUAGAUAUCAGGAGGAACACCGGUGGCGAAGGCGACUUCCUGGACCGAUACUGACGCUGAGGCGCGAAAGCGUGGGGAGCGAACAGG
rnacentral:rRNA from 1 species